rnacentral:rRNA from 1 species
UACGAAGGGGGCUAGCGUUGUUCGGAAUUACUGCGCGUAAAGCGCACGUAGGCGGACUCUUAACUCAGGGGUGAAAUCUUGGGACUCAACCUCGGAACUGCCUUUGAUACUGUGAGUCUCGAGACCGGAAGAGGUGAGUGGAGUUCCUAGUGUAGAGGUGAAAUUCGUAGAUAUUAGGAAGAACACCAGUGGCGAAGGCGGCUCACUGGUCCGGUUCUGACGCUGAGGUGCGAAAGCGUGGGGAGCAAACAGG